UGGUUUUUAUAGUUGAAUACAACGGCAGUUUUUCGUAUUGCUAGUCUUGGAUAUAGUCCUAGUAAAAAUA
rnacentral:tRNA from 1 species